rnacentral:rRNA from 1 species
AAUCCAGAGAUGGAUUUGUGCCUUCGGGAACUGUGAGACAGGUGCUGCAUGGCUGUCGUCAGCUCGUGUUGUGAAAUGUUGGGUUAAGUCCCGCAACGAGCGCAACCCUUAUCCUUUGUUGCCAGCGGUUAGGUCGGGAACUCAAAGGAGACUGCCAGUGAUAAACUGGAGGAAGGUGGGGAUGACGUCAAGUCAUCAUGGCCCUUACGACCAGGGCUACACACGUGCUACAAUGGCGCAUACAAAGAGAAGCGA